rnacentral:rRNA from 1 species
UGGUCGAAAGGGAAACAGCCCAGACCGCCAGCUAAGGUCCCCAAGUCAUGGUUAAGUGGGAAAGGAUGUGGGAAGGCCAAGACAACCAGGAGGUUGGCUUAGAAGCAGCCACCCUUUAAAGAAAGCGUAAUAGCUCACUGGUCUAAACAAGCCGGCCUGCGCCGAAGAUGUACCGGGGCUCAAGCCACCCACCGAAGCUGAGGAUGCAUCGCAAGAUGCGUGGUAGCGGAGCGUUCCGUAGGCCUGUGAAGG